UGAGGAGGGCACCUGUUGGGAUGAGCACUGGGUGUUGUAUGGAAACCAAUUUGACAAUAAAUUUCAUAUUUAAAAAAAAAGAUUCAUCAGUGACUAAGCAAUGCAAAAUGCUAGUUAAGAGUGAAUCACAAUGAAAUACAAUGCUGCCAUAGUGAAGUUUUUAAAUCCAAAUAUUACGGGUUGAGAAAACUGGCUUUUAUAACUGGAAGGGGCAUCCAAGGUCUCUUGGGUUCCCACUUGAUAUGUAAAUUGCAGGGUGGACCCUUUGGGCAACAACCAAUCCGCUGAGAGUCCUGGGGUGGAGAAGCAAGAGAGGACAGCUCACCAAGGACAACUCAUCUCUCAGCAGCUGUGUGUGUCUCAGGGGGUUGGGGAUCACACCUGGAGCUUGGGAGUGCCAUGGUGGGGAGCAGAAGCAGGGGAGGCUGGUCCUGGCUGGGCAGGCUGUAAGCCGUGGCCUGCUUGGGUUCCUGCAAGGAAAGGUUCUCCCCUGUUCCUGACUUAUUGCUGCUGGGUCUGAGCCAGUUGCUAUUCAGGGCAAGGCAACUAGACAGACUUGGCUCCACCGAAAUGCCUACAUAAACAAGUUGAUGCUUGACCUCCUAAUUUUGGCUCUGCACUGAACUAACAAGAUCAUUUUUAUUAUUAUUAAGAGUAUUGAAAAAACAAAAGUUUGUCUUCUGAGUUUACAGAACUGGAAAUAAAUUGCCUGGAGAGGACAGAGCUUUUUCAAAUUCUUCAGACCUGCCUAUUGUUGCUCUGUCUCCUGCUCUUGCCUUCUCUUAUUCCUCCUCAUUCUCUUUUUUCCUCAUUCCUUUUCUUUUUCUUUUUCCAAGAAAAAAAAAGGGCUAAAUCUCUCGCUAAAUAUUGCACGAUUUCUUUCUUGUAAGUCAUAAGUCAUAGCAUGGGAAAAUACCAAAUGUGGGCACGGCACACAAUCUACUGACAAACGCUAAAAUCGGUUGUUUCCAGAGACCAGCAGUACUAACCUCAAUCCCUCCUUCCCCAUUCUUUCUCCAAAGGAGAUAGAAAAUAACCCCAAAUUCAUGCUAAUCUAAUCAAGACGGAAAAUAAAUCAAUGAGUACCUCAGUCAAAAUACCAAAUGGUCGCUCUAUUUCAACAAACCAAGGAAUUGCAAAGAUUUACAUACUUGGAGAACAACUUAUCCUCCAGCCAUCAUGUGGCUAAGGAGAGAAGCAGCAAACAGGGCCCUGACACCGUCACAGGGCAGGGCUGUGCCCCACACUGUGAUCCCAGUUCAGUUUAUGAGGCCUUCUGUUUGAUUUGCAAAACCAAUUCAUCUGGCAGUAUAAUUUGUGCAGCCAAUCACAUCCAAGGCCAAUAAGGGUUCUUUUACGGGCAAAUAUCUUCCCCUGUGAGUAAUUUCACACAUGAGUACAGCAACAGGGAGCUAAAAAUGGAUUUCUGACAUUAUCUUUUAUAUGACAAACAGACAUUUUCACUUGGUUUGAUGAACUGAUAGAAAUCCUCAUUCAUGCAGAUUUCUAUUCUCGGCAGUCCAGCAAAAGAAGACCAGAAUAGCCAAGCCAGAAGUGGAAUAAAAGGGGCCUACUCUGUGGGAGUGUUUAAUUAUAGGCUCAGUUACAACAAAGGCCAUUAGAUGCCUCAUUUAUGUCACCUUUCUGUGCUUCCUUCUUCUUAUCACUAGUCAAAAAGGGAUUACAUUUGUGUGUGAGGGACGCUGAGCAGUGGCCUUCACUCCCACAUUCCUUCGGACUCUUGCAUCAUCAGACAUCUAUUUUCCCUCCACACAACACAGGGGUGCACAUGGGGCUUGGAGUGAUUUUACAGGAGACUGAAAUUGAAAGCCAGUGAAACAUAUUGAGUUUAUAGAAGUGGUAGUGUUGCAGCUCAACUUAUGCCACAGAACUGUUCCGGUACAAUGAAUCUCGAGGCGGAAAUAGGAGUGGCACCCUGUCCUAUUUCCCCUAGUGAUCCACUAGUAAAAUUUUUGCUUCCUGUUACUGCACGGUUCUGCUCUGCUGAUCUAAAAGUCUUAGUUCCAAAGGGAGGAAUACUGCUACCAGGAGACACAACAAUCAUUCCACUGAAUUGAAAGUGAAGACUGCCACCCAACUGCUUUGGGCUCUUCAUGCUUCUCAGUUAACACAGAAGGGAGUUCUCGUCGCUGUGCUGGCUGGGGUGAUUGAUCUGGGUUUCCAAGGGAAAUUGGGCUGCUACUUCAUGACGAAGCACACUGCCGGCCGCAAGGCCAAGCCUCCAAUGCCACGGACUGGGGAUACCUCCUCUCCACUUCCAUCUGCCGUGGGCAAACUUGCUGGCAAAGCUUCCUGAGAAGCACGGUUCCUGGCACAUCAUUGUGCGCCCUGACAGUUACAGUUCACAUCUGGAGAGCCUGCUGCCAUCUGAGAAGAUUCCUUUAGCAAGGCUUAAAUCAAAAUGAGGGAUUCCUGCAUAGCUGAUGAAGAAACAGUCUAACAAGGGGAUUCGAACAAUUAUUUUAAUUAUAAUGAAGUGAAGUCAAGGUAACUUUGAACAGGCCAUUAUCAUUGUGCUUGAGGAAAGAAAUUUCAAAAUCCCAAGCUACGGUGAACCACGGCUUCAGCAAUACAAAAAGGAUUGAGACGGACAUUCUCUUUUCCUAUGAAAAGCUCUCGAUAGAGUGAUGGCAAUUUAUAUUGCGUUGAAUGCCCGAUUGAAGUUCUGCUUCAGCCAAUCUCUUACCACUGGAUCUUCCUCUGCAGUCUUCAAUCGCAUUUAGUUAUGCUCUUUCCUAAACACACACACACACACACACACACACACACACACACACAUAUCCCAAUCCCCUCAUCUUACCAAUACCCACUCAAGCUUUUCUCUUCCUUUCUGCGCUAACUCCAUUUGCCAGCAUUCCCCAGACCACCUUGAUCUGGAUUCAGAUACACUCCAUCUGGUUUUCAUGUUCACUCAUAAGUCCCUCCCCUCCUCCAACAUGGUCACUCCUCUCUUACCGUAUUUUCCUCCACCACCUAUCUCGCUCAGAACCUGGGAUUUAGUGGAUGCUGAAUAAUGUUCGCUGAAUGAAACCUACUGAACUUUCUCUGGCCUUACUCUGUCUCUAAUUCUACUGCUCCCACGAUUUUCUCGCCUGUCAUUCCACUGAUGUUAUUAAAAUUUAUUUCUUGUACAAAAUAUGAAUUUUGCCCCUUCAACUUUACUCAAUGUGUACUGAUGCCUGUAUCUGUGAGUAUAUUUGGUUGAUGUGUGUCUAUGUCUCUAUAAUGUCUUUGUGAGUAAAUUCAAGUGGUAGGACUCGGAGCCACUACAUAACUGGACUAGUUGAGGCCGACUGGUACUUGGAUGAUCGUAAUAAUACAUCUCUGACUUACACAGAAAUGCACUGCAUAAUCACCAGCACGGAAUUAUAAGGUUGUGAUGUUAAAUGUAACUGUGUUACACGACUCUCAAGAUCAAUGCAAGGUGAUUAAAUAAUGAAAAGAAUAUAAAUCCUCCCCUUGACAUAUCUCAGAACCAUGCAAAGUCCAACAACCUCACUUGUGAUAUGACAUCAUAGUAGCCUGCCAAUCAUGUACCUAUCCUUGGAUUGCUGCAUCCUCUCUCUCUCUCUCUCUCUCUCUAGUUCUCUCUCACCUUUAUGCAGUUGUUACUGCUAAUGAAACAACUAGACAAGAUGUUUCCUACUGGCUGAUGAAGAAAUUCAGUUUUAUUAGACCGAGUCCAGAAAAAUGUGCUCAAUUUUAACUUAGCUAAUCUUUCUUAGGCAGAUAUACUGGAGGAAAUGGCCAUCAAGCCAUGGACCCUGUCUUGGGGGUCCUUCUAGCAAGGGACAGUCCUUACCAAUCCAGAAAGCAGACAGAAAUGAAAUACUUGGAUGACAGUUUUUUCCUCCUUUUCCUUUCCUAUUAAGGCAUAAUAACCCCACCAAGUGGUAAAAUCCCCUAUUGGAUAUUGAAUUAGCUAUUUCCUCUUUGGGGUGAAGGAAGAAGGAAUGGAGAAAAAGGAGAGUUAUCUUCCAUUCUCUCAAUGUUUGGAAGGGAAUGGAUAUCCCCCUUGGCUUGGGUGGUUUCAUGGGGAAAACAGGAGUCCCUCUACCUUCCUUCAAUACCAUGUUUGGUUUUGCUGAUACAUAUACAUAUACAUAUACAUAUACAUAUACAUAUACAUAUACAUAUACAUUCAUGUAAAAGUUCAUUUCUUGAUUAAAGAUCUACAUAUCAUAUUAUCAGUCAUAAAAGCUUUAAAUCUCUGGAAGGAGAAAAGCAGAAUCUAUAAGAAUAAGACAUUAACAAUGGUCAUCUUGGAUAAGAUA